GACGAACGCUGGCGGCGUGCUUAACACAUGCAAGUCGAACGGAAAGGCCCUGCUGUUGUGGGGUGCUCGAGUGGCGAACGGGUGAGUAACACGUGAGUAACCUGCCCUUGACUUUGGGAUAACGUCAGGAAACUGGGGCUAAUACCGGAUAGGAGCUCCUGCUGCAUGGUGGGGGUUGGAAAGUUUCGGCGGUUGGGGAUGGACUCGCGGCUUAUCAGCUUGUUGGUGGGGUAGUGGCUUACCAAGGCGUUGACGGGUAGCCGGCCUGAGAGGGUGACCGGCCAAAUUGGGACUGAGAUACGGCCCAGACUCCUCCGGGAGGCAGCAGUGGGGAAUAUUGAACAAUGGGCGGAAGCCUGAUGCAGCAACGCCGCGUGCGGGAUGACGGCCUUCGGGUUGUAAACCGCUUUCGCCUGUGACGAAGCGUGAGUGACGGUAAUGGGUAAAGAAGCACCGGCUAACUACGUG
rnacentral:rRNA from 1 species